ACAUAAGCAAUUUUUGUUAAACAUAACACAACAUCUUCAAGUAAACUAUAAAUAUCGUUCUUAUUGAAAUACAUGUUUACUUUCACACAAUCUUUUUACAUUCCCUUAUUUUCCGCAGAUUAAAUUGGUCUACCCGUAAACUCUGUAUAUUAUCUCUUAUCUCAGUCAAUUAAUUGGCAUUUCUUGUGGAAGAACCUUUCUCCAUGUCUUCUCUCCUUGAACUCUCUGAUAAGAAACCUAAUCCAUAUCCCUCCUUUUCCAUUUAUGCUUUUUGUAUCCACAUUUGCCUCCUCCACCGAUAUGUCUUACAAUCCUUACCAUGAACUGGUGUUCCCUUCUCCUCUCCACCCCACCACCACCAAACCAUCGCCAUUCUGAAAACCCUUGAGACCAUCGUCUCCUCUAACAUCUCCCACCGCCGUCUCCUCUAAACAGGCAUGUUUGUGAUUAAAGAAUGUUGAUGGUAGUGUAGCAAUCGUAUCAAACAAUGGCAAUUGAAGAGGCGUCAAUGGACUAAAACAUUGGAUCUGUUAAAGCCCUACAGGUUCAGUCAAUUUGAUUUCUCUUCUUCCUUACCUCCUUACUGUUAGCCACCUCAUCGCCGCCUACAAACCCACCACUCUUUGUAGCCAAUGAUCUGAUUCAGGCCUUUAGUUCAGAUCAAGUUUAUAAAUGUAAAAAAUCAUACAGAUAAGUAUGUUCCCGUUGUCUCUUUUUGAAUCUGAGAAAUAUAAAAAGUUCCCAUUAUUGAA